rnacentral:misc_RNA from 1 species
UUAUUUUUUCAUGGUUCGGUUUCUCGACGCGAGACCACGUAUCGAGAGUUUCAUCGGGAUAAACGCGAUCGUAUUCGAAGAAGACAUGGCGCCGAUUUAACGUCAGUUAAGAUUAAGUCGAGUAGGUACCACUGAAGGUGCGCCGCAUUAAGUAUUCUCCGGUUGAAGUGGUUCGCCUUCUUCGCUGUGCCUCUGUAAUCUGCAUCGACGCGACGCGCGACGCCUCAAUGUACAGCACGAGCCAAAUGUGGAGCGAACGAUGCGAAUAGAAUUUCUAUAUGACUACAAGAAGUUGAUACACACUGUGAAAAUGAAGUGUAGAGCCUGUUUAAAAAAUGCUUCAUUGGAGAAUAGGAAUACGUGCAAAUACUAUUUACGUA